rnacentral:rRNA from 1 species
UGGGGAAUAUUGCACAAUGGGCGCAAGCCUGAUGCAGCCAUGCCGCGUGUAUGAAGAAGGCCUUCGGGUUGUAAAGUACCUUCAGUCGGGAGGAAGGUGGUAAGGUUAAUAACCUUAUCAAUUGACGUUACCGACAGAAGAAGCACCGGCUAACUCCGUGCCAGCAGCCGCGGUAAUACGGAGGGUGCAAGCGUUAAUCGGAAUUACUGGGCGUAAAGCGCACGCAGGCGGUUGAUUGAGUCAGAUGUGAAAUCCCCGGGCUUAACCCGGGAAUUGCAUCUGAUACUGGUCAGCUAGAGUCUUGUAGAGGGGGGUAGAAUUCCAUGUGGAGCGGUGAAAUGCGUAGAGAUGUGGAGGAAUACCGGUGGCGAAGGCGGCCCCCUGGACAAAGACUGACGAUAAGGUGCGAAAGCGUGGGGAGCAGACAGG